UCCCUGGUGGUCUAGUGGUUAGGACCUGGCGCUUUCAUGGCUGUGGCCCAGGUUCAAUCCCUGGUUUGGGAA
rfam:Sus scrofa chromosome 6.